UGGGGGACUUGGUCCUCGCCGGGGCGCUGUGGCAUCUGAGCAGCCCCUCGGAGCCCGUCUGAAUCCCGGCCGGGAGGGCAACCGCCGGCGGGAUUAGCCGUCUCCGGACCGCGGGGCCAGAAGGUCCCCGCCCUUUGUGGUGCAAAUGAGGAGCGCGCGGGGGCCGCGGGGGCGGCGCUCGCCCGGGACCAAGUUCGCCUGCCGCGUCUCCGACACUCCCGUCACACUUUGAGCUCGGCGCGGCUCCGUCCGAUCCCUCCACGGACACCCCCCCACCCCCCUGCCGACGCGGAGGAAUGCUGAGGAAGGACUUGUCCUUAAGAGUCGCCAGUGCUCCGAACCUGUGACAGGAUUUUUGAGAACGUGUCCAACAAACUCGAGUCUGAGCGACCACAGUCCGUCAGUCAUUCUUUCAAGUACAAAUAGUGCACCGUGGAAACCAAAGGCUUGCAACUCAAACUAUUGCUUAAGGACUUCUCGAGACAUUUACUGUACUUCCAUGUGCAACAGGAGUGCUCCGCGAGUACUUUCCAUCUUGUUAUGCGGACUGUUACAAGGGUUGACAUGAAAAGUUUCAUUUUUUAAGACUAUUAAAAAGGUUGAGAUUUAAAGUUUUACUACAUCAUCAUGGGCAUUCUUAAGUGAAACGUACAUGUUUGUUUGUUCGUUUUUUGUAACUACAAGCAUAGGGCCGUGACAGAUUUAAUGGGACCCCUAGUAUAGUUGAGGGCCUUGACUCAGGCCAAGGACCCUGUACCUCUACCUACCGUUGCUUUGGUACAAAUGUCAACACGGUAAAAAACAAAUGACACCUUCAUAUUUUAUUACAGAAAUAAUUUGGAUCUCUGCGACUCCUCUAGGACCUAGAGACCCCACUUGAAUACCACUGAUUAAAGGCAUCUCCCUUCUUGAUCUUUUAGAACCACACAAACUUCCCUCUUCUGUCUAGUCACAAAAGACUUAAAUUACAUGGCUGAUCAUUCCCAUCAAAGUACCCUGAAUUUGACUGUAGAACGUCCUGUGUUUAGCUUAGCCAAGCUCUGGUUUCUUAAUCAUCACGUUCAGAUAUUAUUCUUUUUAUAGAAAGUGGUUGGCUCUCCUGAAUGAAGCGUUAUGAAAGCAUGUGGUCCAUUAAUGUCAUUUUCCUUCUGCCUCAUUUGUUUUACAUUUUGCAUUUAUGCCCCGAGGAAGAGUUCAAAUUUGUUCUCAAAGUAAUGGAAUUGCUGUGGUCAUCUGUCAGAUAAAUACUAAGUUCUGCAUUCCUUUUUUUUUUUUUUUUUUU